CUUCAGUUCCUUGCUGGCUACAGGGUGGAAGCCAUCAUCAGCUCCCUGAGGCCCCCAAGGCUCCUACCUCACAGGUAGGAGCCCAGCACAACCACAUGCCUCCUCACAGCCAGCAAGCGAGAGAGACUCCAGCAGGAUGCAACUGUGUGCACAGGCAUGCCUUGGUUCAUCACACAUGCUGUGUUAUAUGCCACAGGCGCC
rnacentral:lncRNA from 1 species